UACGUAGGGUGCAAGCGUUGUCCGGAAUUAUUGGGCGUAAAGAGCUCGUAGGCGGUCUGUCGCGUCUGCUGUGAAAACUCAGGGCUUAACCCUGAGCUUGCAGUGGGUACGGGCAGACUAGAGUGCGGUAGGGGAGACUGGAAUUCCUGGUGUAGCGGUGAAAUGCGCAGAUAUCUGGAGGAACACCGGUGGCGAAGGCGGCGUCCUGGACCAACACUGACACUGAGGAGCGAAAGCCAGGGGAGCAAACGGG
rnacentral:rRNA from 1 species